AGUGAACGCUGGCGGCGUGCCUAAUACAUGCAAGUCGAACGGAGUGGCGCACGGGUGAGUAAUAUCUAGCUAAUUUGCCCCUUGCUGGAGGACCACAGUUAGAAAUGACUGCUAAUACUCCAUAGCAAGGGAUGAGACUAUAUCGUAUCAGCUAGUCGGUGGGGUAACGGCCUACCGAGGCUAUGACGCGUAACUGGUCUGAGAGGAUGAUCAGUCACAUUGGAACGGAGAAAGGGUCCAAAAUCCUACGGGAGGCAGCAGUAGGGAAUGUUGCGCAAUGGGGGGAAGCGUGACGCAGCAACGCCGCGUGGAGGAUGACACUUUUCGGAGCGUAAACUCGUUUUGUUAGGGAAGCGGUACCUAACGAAUAAGCACCGGCUAACUCCGUGCCAGCAGCCGCGGUAAUUC
rnacentral:rRNA from 1 species